rnacentral:piRNA from 1 species
AGGAGGUGUAGAAGCUGUUAAAAAUG